AACACGUGGGAACCUGCCCUUUAGUGAGGAAUACCGGCGAGAAAUCGCCGACAAGACCGCAUGAGCUUUUCAGGUGAGAGUCUGGAAAGGAAAGCCUUGAAAGAGGCGCUAGAGGAGGGGCCUGCGUCCGAUUAGCUAGUUGGUGGGGUAAGAGCCUACCAAGGCGUCGAUCGGUAGCUGGUCUGAGAGGACGAUCAGCCACACUGGGAUUGAGAACGGCCCAG
rnacentral:rRNA from 1 species